GACAGAGGGUGCAAACGUUGCUCGGAAUUACUGGGCGUAAAGCGUGCGCAGGCGGUUUUGUAAGCCAGAUGUGAAAUCCCCGGGCUUAACCUGGGAAUGGCAUUUGGGACUGCAAGGCUGGAGUGCGGCAGAGGAGACUGGAAUUCCUGGUGUAGCAGUGAAAUGCGUAGAUAUCAGGAGGAAUACCGAUGGCGAAGGCAGGUCUCUGGGCUGACACUGACGCUCAUGCACGAAAGCGUGGGGAGCAAACAGG
rnacentral:rRNA from 1 species